CCUACGGGUGGCAGCAGUGAGGAAUAUUGGUCAAUGGCCGAGAGGCUGAACCAGUCAAGCCGCGUGAAGGACGACGGUGCCAAGCGUUGUAAACUUCUUUUGUCAAGGGACAAAAUCAGGCUCGAGAGCCUGACCGCGUGUACUCGAAGAAAAAGCAUCGGCUAACUCCGUGCCAGCAGCCGCGGUAAUACGGAGGAUGCGAGCGUUAUCCGGAUUUAUUGGGUUUAAAGGGUGCGUAGGCGGGCUGUUAAGUCAGCGGUAAAAGCGCGGGGCUCAACCCCGGCGAGCCGUUGAAACUGGCAGACUUGAGAUGGCGAGAGGUAUGCGGAAUGCGCAGUGUAGCGGUGAAAUGCUUAGAUAUCGCGCAGAACUCCGAUUGCGAAGGCAGCAUACCGGCGGCGAUCUGACGCUGAGGCACGAAAGCGUGGGUAUCGAACAGGAUUAGAUACCCGGGUAGUC
rnacentral:rRNA from 1 species